rnacentral:rRNA from 1 species
AACGAACGCUGGCGGCAGGCUUAAGACAUGCAAGUCGAACGCCCCGCAAGGGGAGUGGCAGACGGGUGAGUAACACGUGGGAACGUGCCCGAAGGUACGGAACAACUCUGGGAAACUGGAGCUAAUACCGUAUGUGACCGAGAGGUGAAAGAUUUAUCGCCUUCGGAUCGGCCCGCGUCAGAUUAGCUUGUUGGUGGGGUAAUGGCCUACCAAGGCUACGAUCUGUAGCUGUUCUGAGAGGAAGAUCAGCUACACUGGGACUGAGACACGGCCCAAACUCCUACGGGAGGCAGCAGUCGGGAAUAUUGGACAAUGGGCGCAAGCCUGAUCCAGCCAUGCCGCGUGAGUGACGAAGGCCUUAGGGUUGUAAAACUCUUUCGCACGUGACGAUAAUGACGGUAACGUGAGAAGAAGCUCCGGCUAACUUCGUGCCAGCAGCCGCGGUAACAC